AUUGAACGCUGCCGGAUGGCCUAACCCAUGCAAGUCGAACGAGCGGCGGACGGGUGAGUAAUGUCUGGGAAACUGCCUGAUGGAGGGGGAUAACUACUGGAAACGGUAGCUAAUACCGCAUACCAUCAGAUGUGCCCAGAUGGUCUUAGCCAGUGGGUGGGGUAACGGCCCACCAAGGCGACGAUCCCUAGCUGGUCUGAGAGUAUGAGCGGCAACACUGGGACUGAGACACGGGCCAGACGCCGACGGUGGGCAGCAGUAGGGAAUAUUGCACAAGGGGCGGAAGCCUGAUGCAGCCAGGCCGCGUGUAUGAAGAAGGCCUUCGGGUUGUAAAGUACUUUCGGCGGGGAGGCGUUACUCACAGAAGAAGCACCGGCUAACUCCGUGCCAGCCGCCGCGGUAAUAC
rnacentral:rRNA from 1 species